rnacentral:rRNA from 1 species
AGAGUUUGAUCCUGGCUCAGGACGAACGCUGGCGGCGUGCCUAAUACAUGCAAGUCGAGCGGAUCUUACCCUUCGGGGUAAGGUUAGCGGCGGACGGGUGAGUAACACGUAGGCAACCUGCCUGCAAGACCGGGAUAACAUUCGGAAACGGAUGCUAAUACCGGAUACGCAGCAUCCUCGCAUGGGGAGGCUGGGAAAGA